rnacentral:rRNA from 1 species
AUAUCAAUAAGCGGAGGAAAAGAAACCAACAGGGAUUGCCCCAGUAACGGCGAGUGAAGCGGCAAGAGCUCAAAUUUGAAAGCUGGCUCCUUCGGGGUCCGCAUUGUAAUUUGCAGAGGAUGCUUCGGGAGCGGCCCCCAUCUAAGUGCCCUGGAACGGGCUGUCAUAGAGGGUGAGAAUCCCGUAUGGGAUGGGGUGUCCGCGCCCGUGUGAAGCUCCUUCGACGAGUCGAGUUGUUUGGGAAUGCAGCUCUAAAUGGGUGGUAAAUUUCAUCUAAAGCUAAAUAUUGGCCGGAGACCGAUAGCGCACAAGUA